rnacentral:rRNA from 1 species
GUUUCCGUAGGUGAACCUGCGGAAGGAUCAUUGUCGAAACCUGCCCAGCAGAACGACCCGCGAACACGUGAUGCCCCUCCCGGUUACGCCGGACGGGGGGAGCAGCGGCGUAAAAACCCGUUCCCCCCCGCCCGGAAAAAACGAACCCCAGGCGCGGUCCGCGCCAAGGAAAACGAACAACGGAUCGGGCGCCCCGCGAGGAAGCGCCCCCCGAAAUCAAUCUUAACGACUCUCGGCAACGGAUAUCUUGGCUCUCGCAUCGAUGAAGAACGUAGCGAAAUGCGAUACUUGGUGUGAAUUGCAGAAUCCCGUGAAUCAUCGAGUCUUUGAACGCAAGUUGCGCCCUAGGCCGUCAGGCCGAGGGCACGCCUGCCUGGGCGUCACGCACCGAGUCGCCCCCACCCCUCUACUCACCGAGGCGGCGGGAGCGGAUAAUGGCCCCCCGUGCGCUCCACGUGCGCGGCCGGCCCAAACACAGGCCCCGGGAGGCCGACGUCACGAUCCGUGGUGGUUGUAAAAGACACGCCCUCGAAACCGGAUCCCGUGCACGCCGCGCCUCGCCCAGGGCCACAGCGACCCCCAAGGGCCGUCCCCGGACGGCGCCCACUCUGCGACCCCAGGUCAGGCGGGACCACCCGCUGA